GCUCAGGAUGAACGCUGGCGAGAUGCCUUACACAUGCAAGUCGUACGGGAAUUUUUAAUUCAAGUGGCGGACGGGUGAGUAACACGUAAGAAUUUGCCUUUAGGAGGGGGACAACAACUGGAAACGGUUGCUAAUACCCCAUAUGCUUUCGAGUGAAAUGGAUUUUUCCGCCUAAAGAGAAGCUUGCGGCUGAUUAGCUUGUUGGUGAGGUAAUGGCUCACCAAGGCGACGAUCAGUAUCUGGUUUGAGAGGAUGAUCAGACACACUGGAACUGAGACACGGUCCAGACUCCUACGGGAGGCAGCAGUGGGGAAUUUUCCGCAAUGGGCGAAAGCCUGACGGAGCAAUCUCGCGUGAGGGAUGACGGCCUAUGGGUUGUAAACCUCUUUUUUCAGGGAGGAACAAAAUGACGUGUACCUGAAGAAUAAGCAUCGGCUAACUCCGUGCCAGCAGCCGCGGUAAGACGGAGGAUGCAAGUGUUAUCCGGAAUCACUGGGCGUAAAGCGUCUGUAGGUGGUUUGAUAAGUCAACUGUUAAAUCUUGAAGCUCAACUUCAAAAUCGCAGUCGAAACUAUUAGACUAGAGUAUAGUAGGGGUAAAGGGAAUUUCCAGUGGAGCGGUGAAAUGCGUAGAUAUUGGAAAGAACACCGAUGGCGAAGGCACUUUACUGGGCUAUUACUGACACUCAGAGACGAAAGCUAGGGUAGCAAAUGGGAUUAGAUACCCCAGUAGUCCUAGCCGUAAACAAUGGAUACUAGAUGUUGAACAGAUCGACCUGUGCAGUAUUAAAGCUAACGCGUUAAGUAUCCCGCCUGGGAAGUAUGCUCGCAAGAGUG
rnacentral:rRNA from 1 species